rnacentral:lncRNA from 1 species
GGAUAACUUAGCUGCACUGGAGCCUGGAGCUCCCUCACACUCCCCUCAUGCUCCAGCUAGGGCAGAUGAGGAAGCCGCUGAGGAACUGGGAAACGCAGGGACAUGGUGAACUUUGCAUGAGCCCUGUGGCUGCUUCCUGGGGCUCAGGGAUCGAACCCCAAGCUUGAGCUGCAGAGGACAAAGCCUCAGUGCCGGUGAGGGGUCACAGGGAGCCCUGGGACGGGGACAGCGCCACCUGGGGACCGCACUGAGUGUGUGGGUUCCGGGGCUCCGGGUGCUGGGACCCGCAGGGGACAGUGAGACACCCCCACUUCCUCAAGGCCUCCACCGUGGGUGUCCCGUGACCUGUCGGUGCCAUCCCUUGUCACACGCCCUGAGCUGCUGCAACCCAGGACUGCGGCUCAGUCACCAUGAAUUGAACAAGAGCAGGCGAUGGGCCACGGAUCCCAAAGCCAGGUCACAGCUGAGCCAGAAAAGCCUUUAGCUAAGUUACUGAAAAUGAAUGACUUAAAGUGCUGGGGGGUGUUUCCAUAACCUGGCAGCGUUCAGCACCGGCCUCUGUCCUUCCAACUCCUUGCAGAUGAAUCGCACCACUCCGGACUGUGGGAGAAACGCAGGUCUCCAAGUUCCCAGGAUGUGUGCGCAGAGAGCGGGCGCGGGACGGACGGUGCCCGUUGCUUCAGGAGCUGCUUCACCUCUUCGUCUUCUCCCAGCCUCACCAAUGUGUAAACAAAUCGCAACCCGCCACGGGCGGAAAACCUAUGUUAGUCCAGCUGGAAAGAAGUGUGCUCCACCAGGAUUCCGGCCGCGUCCGGUGGAAAGCCUGACGGCAGUGCUGCGAUCACAGUCCUGCGUCACGAACGUAUCUGCGUGGACUUUUCCAUGGGACUUUCGGGGGAGAGUCCCUCCUGCGACCUUAACUCAAAAAGGGCGAUGGCGUUUGGGGUAGAACUCGGGUUAGCGACUGUGUUGACUCUCGGGCUCAGGAGUAGCCAGGGGACAUGGGUCAGGUUGAUUUCUGUGAGGCUCUCGGGCGAGGGCUUGGCUUGACAGGCGUCGGAGCCUGAAUCGCCUCCCACACGUUUAUCCGGCGUGUGCUUCCUUUCUUCUCUGACUGUGGCUACACUGAAGUAGGAGAGGCGAACAGGCCUGAGGUGUUUAGGGUGACCCCCCCCCCCCCGGCUGGCUGGGGAUACAGUUUGUGCACUAAAGUCUCCCAUUCUGGGGCCAGGACAGUGGGUGGUCCAGAGUAGAGUGGAAAACGGAAUCAGUGCGAGGCAG